CAGCAUUCAGAGAAAGCUGCAGGUCCGUUUGGGGAAAUGGCAUCUCCACGUCAGGACUGGAGUCAGAAGGAGAGUCUCUGGGAAUUCCUCUGGAUAGAGGCAUGCCGGUGGCUUCAGGGGGCUUGGCGUCGGGAGCCCUGGGCGGAGUUCUGGAACUGCUUGCCCGAUGCUGGGGAUACGAUAUGUUAUUGCACGCAGAGGCCUGAGAAAGCUGCAAUGAAAGCUUGAGAUCUCAGAGCACAUUCGUGUUCCAUGGAUACGUCACUGAACGGUUUGCACAGACUGUCAGAGUCGCCAGGCCGAGAUGUUUGGUGGUGCUUCUUUCCUUGCAUGCGUACGAAGUUUCAAACCUGAGGUGACGGACGUGAUGGGUCCUCAGAACAUCUGUUACUCUUUUAUUUCCUGCUCUACUUCCGAUCGGUGAAGUGAAUCGGACCUGCUAGUGGAAGGAGCUAUCUGUGCGUUUUUAUUUCCUAGUUUAAUUAAACAAUGGGAAAAGAGUCUUCUGAAAUAGUAAAGGAAUCCUUUCUGGGUGUUCAUGUUUUUCUCUUCUGCGAGCCACAUUCCGAUAUUAGAAAUUAUUUGUUAAAGUAAAACAGCCUCAGAGCUGUCACAGGGUUUGGUGGCCUUUGUGAGA
rnacentral:lncRNA from 1 species